CAGAUUUUUUUUCCUCUCCCAGGAAAUCCCUAGAUUCCUGGUAGAAAUGCAUAUGGAUGAAGGUCAAGGCAAAACAGGCCCAGCAAGAACAGGACACUCCCAGCCUGAUGAUGGCAUCAUGUGGUUUCCAGGUCUCUGAGAAAACUAGACAUUACCAGCAUCAAAUCAUCCACAGAGCACUCUAACUAAAAGGAGAACAUUAUGGGAACUGCAUCACACAAGUUCUAGGCUUGAAAGAGGUGCUACAGCAUCCACCGCAGAUAAUACGAUGCCCCUUAGGACUACUGCCAUGUGUAAACUUCUCCUCAUACAAACUGCACAAAAUCAACAGCAGGGAAGGUACGGGAAUGAAAGGGAGAAGAUCAAGGGCUGAGGGGCCAGGGGGAGCUGCUGAAAAGCUGCAGCAGAUUAUGUGGAGCUGAAAGCUGGGUAGGACUUUGGGUAAAAAAUUAGUACCCACCGUGUUUAUAUCAAAUGCCAUGGGAUUUUCUUUAAUGAAAGGCCACAUAGGUCCUCAUUUUUUUUUAUUUGAGGAGAUUUUAAAGAGUGUGCAGUAACUGAAGCACUGGAAUCAAUAGCAGGGGAGCAAGAAAAACAUCUGUAGGUGCCUUGCAGCUUUUUGGUCCAGUGUAUUAUAUUGAAUGCAACUGUGCAACCUUCCCUUUAAUGAUAUGUCUUGUGGUCAGAUUUUUGGGCAGCAUGAUGGAAAUUGGUGUGAGCCCCUUCCUAGGCAUAGAUAAUGGCAUAACCAGGUCUGCCUGUUGAAUGUUAUCAGCCCUGUAUCUGACCUCUGUGCAUCUAAUAACAAAGAUGUGUGUUGAAAAGCAGCAUUUUAUGAAAGAGUUAUUCGUUUAAUAUAUUAUUCUGGCUUAACAUCUGCAUGUGGAUUGGAAACUGUCAGAGCGAAACAGAGUAAUUUUCCAAGGUAUAUGACAAUAUAAAGAUGGUGUGAGGUAACCUGCUGGGACAGUCGUGGUGAAAUCAGAUUGGCAAAAAUAAGGGUUGACCUGUUACUUGGAAGAAAGAGGCCAAUUUAUCACUGUGGUGUGUUACUGUGUUAAAUAACUCAAUUUACUUUUAUUUUAAUCUGAACACUUGAAGGUCUUAAAAAAUAGAAGUCAUUUGGUCUCUGUGGUUUGCUCUAGUUUAGGAAUUUUUUUUGUUCCUUUUCUCUCUCUCUCUCUCUCUUUUUUUUUUUUUUUUUUUUUUUUUUUUUUUUUUUUUUUUUUUUUUUUUUUUUUUUUUGUGAGGCAAUGGUGGUUGAGUAUCUCCAAGAAAAUGAAGUACCGGCAAGGGGGCAGAAAAUCGUGCCUGUUAUUUCAUGUAGCCAGAGAAAGAAGCAACACCUUGGAGGUGAAUGAUAGAUAUUAUUAUAAAAGAGUUGUAGCUCAGGGCAGGUGAGCAGUGUGUUAAUGAGGAGCCACCUCCUGCUUUCUGACAGAUGACUGUCAUUGUUCAAAUGCUGCCAUCAGAUUGAUUAAUAACUGGGUCAUCCUGCCCUGCAGUUGGAGUAGACUGUCUUCAUUCUUUUGCUGAUUUCUCUAAUAUGCUGACCUGGAGGUGACCCAACAGAGGUGGAGCUGAGAUUAGCAUUUCAUUUUUUGUAGAACAACAAGAAAAAAUUCACAAGGAAGCGGUGGGUGCAGGGGGAAUAUUAACCAAAAACUCAAGGAAUGUUCUUAUCCCCAGAACAACCCCAAAACUUAUUCAUCAUUUAUGAAUAGGCAGUUUAGUAUUUGAUACAUUUAUAUUUUUAAUAAAGAUUUAAAUUAGUCAGGUUCUUCUCUGCAGUGUCAGCUAAAUCCAAAUGAAAAGAUGUAUAAGAUCUCUCCAGAACACGCAAAGAAAUGUAAAGACCUGUGUACUGAGGGGCAUGGGAGUGAGCUGAUAUAACAUCAGAAUUCCUGCUUUGCCUUAAUGUCUCUUAAUGUUCACCAAAUCCACUAUUAAAAGACCAAAUAGUAAACAGCAUGCUU